rnacentral:rRNA from 3 species
AAAUCCGGUUCACUUUAACACUGAGGCGUGACGACGAGGCACUACGGUGCUGAAGCAACAAAUGCCCUGCUUCCAGGAAAAGCCUCUAAGCAUCAGGUAACAUCAAAUCGUACCCCAAACCGACACAGGUGGUCAGGUAGAGAAUACCAAGGCGCUUGAGAGAACUCGGGUGAAGGAACUAGGCAAAAUGGUGCCGUAACUUCGGGAGAAGGCACGCUGACACGUAGGUGAAGUGAUUUACUCAUGGAGCUGAAGUCAGUCGAAGAUACCAGCUGGCUGCAACUGUUUAUUAAAAACACAGCACUGUGCAAACACGAAAGUGGACGUAUACGGUGUGACGCCUGCCCGGUGCCGGAAGGUUAAUUGAUGGGGUCAGCGCAAGCGAAGCUCCUGAUCGAAGCCCCGGUAAACGGCGGCCGUAACUAUAACGGUCCUAAGGUAGCGAAAUUCCUUGUCGGGUAAGUUCCGACCUGCACGAAUGGCGUAAUGAUGGCCAGGCUGUCUCCACCCGAGACUCAGUGAAAUUGAACUCGCUGUGAAGAUGCAGUGUACCCGCGGCAAGACGGAAAGACCCCGUGAACCUUUACUAUAGCUUGACACUGAACAUUGAGCCUUGAUGUGUAGGAUAGGUGGGAGGCUUUGAAGUGUGGACGCCAGUCUGCAUGGAGCCGACCUUGAAAUACCACCCUUUAAUGUUUGAUGUUCUAACGUGGACCCGUUACCCGGGUUGCGGACAGUGUCUGGUGGGUAGUUUGACUGGGGCGGUCUCCUCCUAAAGAGUAACGGAGGAGCACGAAGGUUGGCUAAUCCUGGUCGGACAUCAGGAGGUUAGUGCAAUGGCAUAAGCCAGCUUGACUGCGAGCGUGACGGCGCGAGCAGGUGCGAAAGCAGGUCAUAGUGAUCCGGUGGUUCUGAAUGGAAGGGCCAUCGCUCAACGGAUAAAAGGUACUCCGGGGAUAACAGGCUGAUACCGCCCAAGAGUUCAUAUCGACGGCGGUGUUUGGCACCUCGAUGUCGGCUCAUCACAUCCUGGGGCUGAAGUAGGUCCCAAGGGUAUGGCUGUUCGCCAUUUAAAGUGGUACGCGAGCUGGGUUUAGAACGUCGUGAGACAGUUCGGUCCCUAUCUGCCGUGGGCGCUGGAGAACUGAGGGGGGCUGCUCCUAGUACGAGAGGACCGGAGUGGACGCAUCACUGGUGUUCGGGUUGUCAUGCCAAUGGCACUGCCCGGUAGCUAAAUGCGGAAGAGAUAAGUGCUGAAAGCAUCUAAGCACGAAACUUGCCCCGAGAUGAGUUCUCCCUGAGACUUAGAGUCUCCUGAAGGAACGUUGAAGACGACGACGUUGAUAGGCCGGGUGUGUAAGCGCAGCGAUGCGUUGAGCUAACCGGUACUAAUGAACCGUGAGGCUUAACCUUACAACGCCGAAG